rnacentral:rRNA from 1 species
CCUACGGGUGGCUGCAGUGAGGAAUAUUGGUCAAUGGGCUUACGCCUGAACCAGCCAAGUCGCGUGAGGGAAGACUGCCCUAUGGGUUGUAAACCUCUUUUGUCAGGGAGCAAUUGGCGCUACGUGUAGCGUUAUCGAGAGUACCUGAAGAAAAAGCAUCGGCUAACUCCGUGCCAGCAGCCGCGGUAAUACGGAGGAUGCGAGCGUUAUCCGGAUUUAUUGGGUUUAACGGGUGCGUAGGCGGAAUGCCAAGUCAGCGGUAAAAUCGCGGGGCUCAACCCCGGCGAGCCGUUGAAACUGGCGGGCUGGAGUUGGAGAGAAGUACGCGGAAUGCGCGGUGUAGCGGUGAAAUGCUUAGAUAUCGCGCAGAACCCCGAUUGCGAAGGCAGCGUACCGGCUCCACACUGACGCUGAGGCACGAAAGCGUGGGUAUCGAACAGGAUUAGAUACCCCAGUAGUC